GGUCGGGGCGCCGGCCUGGGCCUCACCCUCACCUCCCUACCCUGGGCCACACGCGACCCCAUGCCUCCCCACCCCCGCCCCUCCAUCCCGCUCACCCUGCAGCCGCGGGCUCUGCUUCCUCCCCGCGGCGGCGCGACUGCCGCGCUCGGCCCUCCUCCUACCGCCGCUCCUCCUUCCUCCUCUUCCUCCUCCCCGAAGGGAGGGCGCGCGGCCGCGGCCCAGGCGGGAGCGGAGCCGCCGCGAAGGAGCCCGGGCCGCCUGCGCCCUCAGCACAGCCCGAAGCCUGGUUCCUCCUUCCUUUGGCUUUAACAAAGAGUGACCGCUGUCUGUCACCUCUGAUGCUACUACAGCUAGAACCACAGAACUGCAACUGCUAGCCACGAGUCGUCCUUGCCAUUCAUCAGAAUGUUAGAAUUAAAACCAGAAGAAGGCUUAUUGAUGGAACUGUAGCAAAGUGGGUGUUACAUGAAGGUAAGCUUGGGCUGAUUUUUUUUCAUCAUUGCUUUGAUAACAUAAACAUGUCUGAAUAUUUAUGUAAAUAAACUAAACUUUAUGUCUAACUCUGAAAACUAG
rnacentral:lncRNA from 1 species